CUUUGAACGCAUGUUGCGCCCGAGGCCUCGGCCAAGGGCACGUCUGCUUGAACGCCACAC
rnacentral:rRNA from 1 species